ensembl:lncRNA
AAGGCACUUAAAUCUUUUGUCUUGCCCAUUCACCCUCUGAAUGGCACACACACACAAUCCAUGUCUCAAUUGUCUCAAGGCUUAAAAAUGUGUCUCUAACUUGUCUCCUUCCCUUCAUCUACACUGAUUGAAGUGGAUUUAACAAGUGGCAUCAAUAAGGGAUCAUAGCUUUCACCUGGAUUCACCUGGUCAGUCUAUGACAUAGAAAGAGCAGGUGUUCUUAAUGUUUCGUACACUGUGUAUCGCUGACAGACAGGAACCCAACCGACAAGAAGUGUCUGACUUCCUCAAAAUGAACGGAGAAUGGAUUAAAAACAACCUUGAAAAUAACAAUAUAGAUAUAUAAUAUAGUAGUAGACAAAGUCAACAAGUUCCGGUUUGAAAGUCUUGGUGUUUUAUUGUAAGUAUUGCAUUUUCAAACUUACACCGCGAGAAUCAUCAUCAUCAGAGAGCAUGUUCUACAAAGGAUUGAUGGCCACAGAGUUCAUCUGAACAACAAGGGGACUAUAGUCUCUCCUAUAGCCUGGUUAAACCAGACUGAAUGCUACGCUAACUUGUAUCACAGCAUUCAGCCUAGUUUAACCCAGGCUAGGUCUGUCCUGUUUGGAGGUGGGAAUAGUUGUAUCGACUUUUACCCAUUCAUUCUGCCUUAACCUGGUUCCCAGAUCUGUUUGUGCUGUCUUGACCAGAAUGACCACAGGAGUUGGAAAGACAGCACAAACAGAUCUGGGUCCCAGGCUAUUCGUUCCCCCCCUCCGAGUCAUUGUCUAUAAGACCAAUACCUAGUACACUGGAGUGACAUUAUUCAGGGUGGAGGUCAAUUCCAUCUAAAUUCCAUCCGCAAAAUGGAAUGUGAAUUCAGUUUGGAUACCAGGUAAGAAAUUCCCAUCUUGAACUGAACAGAUUGGAACUGAGUUAGAAUAGACCCCCAAAUCUGGAUAUAACAACAUACUGCUAGCCAUACACAGGCAAAAGCAGGUAUCACUUAUAUGGCCGCACUAAGGACACCAGACAACACACACAAAAGAGAGAGGGUAUUGGGGAAAAACACAGUUUUUCAUUAAAUAUGGGCCCUUUUUUCUCAUAGUGCAGGUUCAAAAAACGACAAACAAAAAGCGCUAGAAGAUAAAAGUGUAAAUGAAGGAGAGUGAAGUAAUCUGCCCCCUGUGAAAGAGAAGAGGACACUGUUGGUGUUCUGAGGUCGUUUGGCUUAUUUGUUUCUAUCGAGAAAGCACCAUCGUCAGUGAACCAUCCAAAUUUGAGGAGAUCAUGAAAUCCCUCAAGAUUACACUCUUAACUUUACACCUUGAAUGAUGUCCUUCGUUGAAACCAUAGGUUUUUGUUCUCAAUAAUAUUAAUCUGAGGCUUUUUGUAAAUGUAAGACACAUUUUGUUGACUAAAACAUAAUCUAGUAAAGACUACUACUUGUCUUCCUACUAGAGUGUGGAGUUAGUUAGUUAGCCCCCAUUUUGUAUAGUAGCUGGCUCAGUAUUUGCCCAUUAGACUUGGCUAUUGUAGGCUGAGUCCAAAAUCAACCCCUUGACCCUACACCCCCAUCCCCUCCUAGCAAAUUCUAGGAUUAUUGGAUAGGUGUAAACUGUUAGGACAAAAUCUCCACCCAGCCUAUCAGAGAAGGAGAAGAUGACCAUACAGCCUGGGGUCAGUUUGGAACUCGACCGUGGAUGCAUGAGAGGCAAGGCUCAGUACUGGGAGCAGCCUGGGGUCAGUUUGGAACUGGAUGCAUGAGAGGCAAGGCUCAGUACUGGGAGCAGCUUGGGGGCUGAUUACAUUUCAAGUGUCCGUCUAACAAAACAACAUUAGCCUGGUAUCCUGACUGACUUCACUACGAUUCACCAUGGUCUGUUUCCCAAAUGGCACCCUAUUCCCUACUUAGUGCUCUACUUUUGACAGAGUCUGGUCAAACGCAGUGCACUAUGUAGGGAAUAGGGUGCCAUUUGGGAAACAACAAUUGUUUCACUUUUAAACAUUAAAUCUUAAAAUAAGGGAUAAAAUCAUUAAAAAAUAGGAAGAGUAAUAAGAUAAGACAGAAACCAAAUAAGUUAACUUUUUCAUUUUUUUUCUCAAUCUGUGUUGGUUCUGUGAGGGAUGGAGAAAUAGGCUAAUAAAUAUAUAAACUUCAAAAACUCAACGGUCAGGUUGGGAUUGUUCUUUCAUAUGAAGAGAUAUGUGAAUACCAGUGGAAAACCAGACUUUUCAAAGUGCAAGUUGGGCUCGCUUCAGUAACAAGGGCUAAGGAUGUACACACACAGUCAAUGACAUCAUCAUACACCUGGGUGCUGUCACUUCAGACUCGAGUUCCACCACAGCUCACGAGAUACCACCAGUGGAAUGCCAUAUAGGAGUUUUCAAAAUAAAAGUAAGAAACAAACAAAUUUGAAUAAAUAAGAGUGCCACACAAACUCUGUAUUUAUGAACAGAAGAUGUCCUGGGGUGGCGGCCAUUUUGUAUUACAGCCAUAUAGUUGUUGUGUCUUGAACUUGAAGUUAAGUACUAUGAAGUGGAACUUCUCUUGGGGUUGAUGGGGGACAGCUACAGAAUGGUAACCUUUGAACGUUUCUCUUGGGGUUGAUGGGGGACAGCUACAGAAUGGUAACCUUUGAACGUUUCUCUUGGGGUUGAUGGGGGACAGCUACAGAAUGGUAACCUUUGAACGUUUCUCUUGGGGUUGAUGGGGGACAGCUACAGAAUGGUAACCUUGGGGUUGA